rnacentral:rRNA from 1 species
UACGUAGGGGGCAAGCGUUGUCCGGAUUUAUUGGGCGUAAAGAGCGUGUAGGCGGCCAUGUAGGUCCGUUGUGAAAACUCGAGGCUCAACCUCGAGACGCCGAUGGAAACCAUGUGGCUAGAGUCCGGAAGAGGAGAGUGGAAUUCCUGGUGUAGCGGUGGAAUGCGCAGAUAUCAGGAGGAACACCAACGGCGAAGGCAGCUCGCUGGGACGGUACUGACGCUGAGGCGCGAAAGCGUGGGGAGCGAACAGG